UACGGGGGGGGCAAGCGUUGUUCGGAAUUACUGGGCGUAAAGGGCUCGUAGGCGGCCAACUAAGUCGGACGUGAAAUCCCUCAGCUUAACUGGGGAAUGGCGUCCGAUACUGGAUGGCUUGAGUUCGGGAGAGGGAUGCGGAAUUCCAGGUGUAGCGGUGAAAUGCGUAGAUAUCUGGAGGAACACCGGUGGCGAAGGCGGCAUCCUGGACCGGCACUGACGCUGAGGAGCGAAAGCCAGGGGAGCAAACGGG
rnacentral:rRNA from 1 species